AUUGCCUGGUGAACAUCUUGCAAGCCUCCUUGUACAUUCCCUUCUUAAACUUUUCUUUGCCCACCUCUCUUUCAAUCCUAGCCAUCUCUUCUUCCACCACUCUCCAAAACAAAUCAUAGCUCACUUUCACUCCAAGCCCAUCUCCAUCCAACUCCACUCCAUACUUUAGCCAUUGCCAAUUCUGGACUCUGCUAAUCUCAGCAGUGGCAGCAUCUUCCAUCAGGUUGUAAAGAGGCACGGAGCCUGUUCCAGUGAGCCAUGCAGCCAAAUACUGGAUCCCAACCCUGGUGUUCAGGCGGAGACCUUCCAUGGUACGCACUCCUCGAGGCCGCUGUAACAGGUCUUCCUCUGUUAUAUUUGCAGCAUCUUCUCGUUUCAUGACCUGAAUCUGGUGGGGGAUAUUUCCCAUGUUGUUUGUGAAGACUUCCAUGCAGACUGGGAUAAGUCCAGGAUGUGCUGCCCAUGUUCCAUCA
rnacentral:misc_RNA from 1 species